CCCCAUGUCAGGCGGGACUACCCGCUGAAU
rnacentral:rRNA from 1 species